GUUGUCCGGAAUCAUUGGGCGUAAAGAGCGUGUAGGCGGCUCGGUAAGUCCGCUGUGAAAGUCCAGGGCUCAACCCUGGAAUGCCGGUGGAAACUGUCGAGCUAGAGUCCGGAAGAGGCGAGUGGAAUUCCUGGUGUAGCGGUGAAAUGCGCAGAUAUCAGGAGGAACACCAAUGGCGAAGGCAGCUCGCUGGGACGGUACUGACGCUGAGACGCGAAAGCGUGGGGAGCAAACAGG
rnacentral:rRNA from 1 species